GGAGGAGCAAGAACAAAAUGGGACAUUGCCCGUAUUGGAGUCAUCUGUCACGAGUUUUCGCAUUUCUUAGGUCUGCCUGAUCUGUACGAUACUUCUGGAGGUGUUGGUGUGGGAACAUUUGAUUUGUUGGGUAAUAUGUGGGGCUGGUAUAAUGAACAGCGGUACCCUCCGCUUUUGG
rnacentral:SRP_RNA from 1 species